rnacentral:piRNA from 1 species
UAGCAUCCUUUACUUCCCAGGCAGCUC